AGGCAUAUGUGCAGCAGCUGGAGAGCAGUAAGCUGAAGCUUGCACAGGUGGAGCAGUAAUACCAGAAAAGCUCGCCAGCAGGGAAUCUUCAUUUCUAGCUCUGGAGACCAAACCCAUGCCAUGAGUGGAAAUGGAGCGUUGACUUUUGACAUAGAAUAUGCUAGAUGGCUAGAGGACCAAAAUAAGCAAAUAAAUGAGUGU